CGGCGGACGGGUGAGUAACACGUGGGUAACCUGCCUGUAAGACUGGGAUAACUCCGGGAAACCGGAGCUAAUACCGGAUAGUUCCUUGAACCGCAUGGUUCAAGGAUGAAAGACGGUUUCGGCUGUCACUUACAGAUGGACCCGCGGCGCAUUAGCUAGUUGGUGAGGUAACGGCUCACCAAGGCGACGAUGCGUAGCCGACCUGAGAGGGUGAUCGGCCACACUGGGACUGAGACACGGCCCAGACUCCUACGGGAGGCAGCAGUAGGGAAUCUUCCGCAAUGGACGAAAGUCUGACGGAGCAACGCCGCGUGAGUGAUGAAGGUUUUCGGAUCGUAAAGCUCUGUUGUUAGGGAAGAACAAGUGCAAGAGUAACUGCUUGCACCUUGACGGUACCUAACCAGAAAGCCACGGCUAACUACGUGCCAGCAGCCGCGGUAAUACGUAGGUGGCAAGCGUUGUCCGGAAUUAUUGGGCGUAAAGGGCUCGCAGGCGGUUUCUUAAGUCUGAUGUGAAAGCCCCCGGCUCAACCGGGGAGGGUCAUUG
rnacentral:rRNA from 1 species